CUCUCGGCAACGGAUAUCUAGGCUCUCGCAUCGAUGAAGAACGUAGCGAAAUGCGAUACUUGGUGUGAAUUGCAGAAUCCCGCGAAUCAUCGAGUUUUUGAACGCAAGUUGCGCCCGAAGCCACUCGGCCGAGGGCACGUCUGCCUGGGUGUCACGCACCGUUGCC
rnacentral:rRNA from 3 species